UUUCCGCCGUUCAAACCGAGCAAAUUCUGCGGAAGGAAUUUCUCUCCACCGUAUACCAUUUUACGGUGAUGAGCGUCCUGAAGCGAAGCGAAGACGUAAAAUCUGGGUGAAUUUUGUUGCAAGAAAACGCGCUCGAUGGACACCGACUAAGUAUUCGGCUGUUUUCAAGCAGUGGUAUACAAUUAUCAACAUUUAUAUCUGAUAGACACAUAUCUAUUAUUAAACAUAUGAGGGAGAAAAUGGCACAUGUGAAGCACUAUUUUGAUUUAUGGCAUCUAAAAAAAAAAUUAACCAAAAUAAUAACAAAGCUUAGCUAAGAAAAAGGCUGUGAAGAAUUGAAAAAGUGGUCAAACCCUGUGGCAACCAUUUCUAUUGGAGUGCUUGUUCUACUUAUGAUGGUGAUGGCAAAGUUCAAAUCUUUCCUGAGUCACAUAGUAGACAAGCACACCAAUUUGGAUGAUCCACUGUUUUCAAGUUGUUUUCAUGGCCCUGAUAUUCAACCAAGGGAAUAUUUGUUAGAAGGUUCAGUUGCUCAUGAAAAGCUUUGUGCUAAAUUGUUACACCCACAGCUGAUGAAGUCAAUUCAACAGGCUUCACCAGUUGCUCAAACAAGUUGUUUGGAAGGAUUCCAUUCUGUCCUGAAUCAUUUUGCUCCAAAAAUGAUUCAUUAUUCCUAUGUUGGAAUGUAUUGCAGACACAUUUUGGCAUCCAUCCACUUCAACAACAACUUAAGGCGUGAUGUAAAGAUGAAGAAUGAUGGCACUUUCCAAAUAAAUGUAGUGUAUCCAAAGUUUAAAAAGGUGAAGGAACUGUGAGGGAUGUCAGAGUUAAACCCAAAUUUGAGUAUGUGGAUGAAUUAUUUGAGAGUGUGAUGCUGUCAAUAAAAGACAAAGACGCAUUAUCAAAUUCACAAAAUCUUUUGAAAGAAAUGUCCCCACCACCAAUGAAUGUCAUGCUGCAAAAGCAAACCAGAUCUGAGAUGCUACUAAAACAGGUCCUUCGAAAAUGCAUUGUUGUCAAUGAUGUCCCCCCCCUCAAUUCCAGCAGCUACCAGUGUGCCAUUCAGCUGUCAGUCAAAUGUGGCAGUUUCAAAAGAAAAAAGUCAGCCAAAAUGUUUGACAUGCAAGAAGCCAAUGAAAGGUCACAAACAUGUGGCAGAUUGCCCAAAAAAUAGCAAAACUUAAUUUUCACUUCACUCAUUUAUUUUCUUCGUACCCUCUAAAUUCAAACUUUUUAUCAUUAAAUUUUGAUCUUAUUGCAUGGUAUGCA